UCGGAAUGACUGGGCGUAAAGGGCGCGUCGGCGGUUUGUCCAGUCAGGUGUGAAAUUCCCGGGCUCAACCUGGGGGCUGCACUUGAUACGUAUGGACUUGAGUGAGGAAGAGGGUCGUGGAAUUCCCAGUGUAGAGGUGAAAUUCGUAGAUAUUGGGAAGAACACCGGUGGCGAAGGCGGCGACCUGGUCCUUUUACUGACGCUGAGGCACGAAAGCGUGGGGAGCAAACAGG
rnacentral:rRNA from 1 species